GUGGGGAAUAUUGGACAAUGGGCGAAAGCCUGAUCCAGCCAUGCCGCGUGAGUGAUGAAGGCCUUAGGGUUGUAAAGCUCUUUCAGUAGGGAAGAUAAUGACGGUACCUACAGAAGAAGCCCCGGCUAACUUCGUGCCAGCAGCCGCGGUAAUACGAAGGGGGCUAGCGUUGUUCGGAUUUACUGGGCGUAAAGCGCACGUAGGCGGAUUGGUCAGUUAGAGGUGAAAUCCUGGAGCUCAACUCCAGAACUGCCUUUAAUACUGCCAGUCUAGAGUCCAGAAGAGGUGAGUGGAACUCCUAGUGUAGAGGUGGAAUUCGUAGAUAUUAGGAAGAACACCAGUGGCGAAGGCGACUCACUGGCCCAAUACUGACGCUGAGGCGCGAAAGCGUGGGGAGCAAACAGGAUUAGAAACCCGUGUAGUCC
rnacentral:rRNA from 1 species